rnacentral:rRNA from 1 species
GAUGAACGCUGGCGGCGUGCCUAAUACAUGCAAGUCGAGCGAACAGACGAGGAGCUUGCUCCUCUGACGUUAGCGGCGGACGGGUGAGUAACACGUGGAUAACCUACCUAUAAGACUGGGAUAACUUCGGGAAAUCGGAGCUAAUACCGGAUAACAUGUUGAACCGCAUGGUUCAACAGUGAAAGACGGUCUUGCUGUCACUUAUAGAUGGAUCCGCGCCGCAUUAGCUAGUUGGUAAGGUAACGGCUUACCAAGGCAACGAUGCGUAGCCGACCUGAGAGGGUGAUCGGCCACACUGGAACUGAGACACGGUCCAGACUCCUACGGGAGGCAGCAGUAGGGAAUCUUCCGCAAUGGGCGAAAGCCUGACGGAGCAACGCCGCGUGAGUGAAGAAGGUCUUCGGAUCGUAAAACUCUGUUAUUAGGGAAGAACAAAUGUGUAAGUAACUAUGCACGUCUUGACGGUACCUACUCAGAAAGCCACGGCUAACUACGUG